rnacentral:lncRNA from 1 species
GCAGAAGAUGGAUGGAGGUCAGUGAGGUUUACAGCUGUUGCAGCUGCCUGGUGCAUUCCAUGCCAAGCAAAGCACCUGCCAUACUGAACUGAGAGAGCUACUGGAUAAGAAGUCCCUCGAGUUAUUCGACUCAACUUUACAAAUCAAACACUCGAAGGAGCCAUGCAACCCUCUGACUACGGGGAGACCAUCAUGUCACUUACCAUUCUGUCUUUCUAGAAUGUCAACUGAGACACUUGACAACAGAUCAGACUGAGAUGAGAGGCAGAAAUGAGAAGACACAGAAGGCUAGUGGCACUCCUCUCAGCAAUGCCCGAGUGGCAGAAAAGCACCUUUAGAGAGCGCCUAUGCGGCAAGAGACACACAGCUAAAGAUUCAAAAUGAAUCAACAGGAUUGGAUAACAGGAUCACUCUCAACUCAGAAGCUGCCUGGAGGUCGGGUGCAUCUUCAGUUAAUGUAACAGGAAAAGGCGGCCAUGGAUUUCAUUUUAUUAAUUGCAUCCACUCAUAAACCGACCUAGGGUCACCAGAUGUGUAGACACAAUGAGAUUUUGUUGUUCUUAGAGUCUUUAAUUGAAGUGAUGAUAAAGGAAAUAGAUCUAUUUAAAAACAAAAUCAAAUAGCUCUGUCUGGAUUAGGAGGUGGCACCAGGUGUGGGGUUCACGUUUUGUGUGGCUACUUGAGGUGCGACUUCAAUAAUCCGAGGCUUGUCGAUGAUCCUGGCUGUGCGGUUGCCCUUCUCCACUAUCCCAAUAAUCCAUGCUUGGUGCCCUUCGCCGUAUUUGGGGGACUUGAUCUCUGCACAGAACCGAGCUGCUUGCUCACGGGGUAGACAGAUUAGCAGGCCUCCU